rnacentral:rRNA from 1 species
GUAGCAGAAUAGUUUGUUCUUUAAUUGGGAGUUGGUAUGAAAGGUUUUACAAAAAAUAUCUUUUUAGUUAAAUUAAAUAAAUUAAAUUUUAAGUUAAAAUGCUUAAGUGUUAUAAAGGGACGAUAAGACCCUAAAAGCUUAAAUUAUUUGUAGAUUUAUUUUAGUUUGUUGUAAAUAUAAUUAAAUAAUAAUAUUAGCUGGGGAAGCGGUUUUGAUUAAAUCAUAAUUAUAAUUAACUUAUUGUAAGAAUUAUGAUCUUUUAUAUAAAGAAAAAUAGAAAAAGUUACUUUAGGGAUAACAGCGCAAUUAUCUUGGGGAGUCCUUAUCUAUAAGGUUAUGUGCGACCUCGAUGUUGAAUUAAAAUUGUCUUAAGAGAGCAGAAAAUCUAUAAGAGGGUUUGUUCAACCUUUAAAUUUUU